GGGGACGACAUGGCUUCGACGUGGUCGACUUCGUGACGGUGGUUGCGAGCCGAGGUGUCAGGAGGCCUCGUAAAACACCUGACAAAACCAUACGUGCGGAUACACACUCGUACCGCCUCGCCGCCUAGCUACAACUAGGUAAGCGAGUUCUGGCCCCCGCCAGCCGGCCGCGGGGAUCACCGGAAUCAGAAUGCCGGAUCACCCGGGGAGAUCCGCUCCCGUCGAACCGGGGACAUUUCAGGGAGCUGGCCCUCAGAAACCCCGCCGGCGAGGCGAUCUGAGGGCGAGAUCAGAGCGCCGGAUACGCUCGUAGACGCCACCGUUACGCGAUCGCGGACGCGGGUUCGAUUCCCGCCGUCUCCACUA
rnacentral:tmRNA from 1 species